GGAGCAGCAGAGACGGGGUGGGCGGGGAGCUUGGCUGAAAGGCGCUUUCUCUGUGAGGGCUGGGAGGAGGAGGGGAGGCCGCAGCGGAGGGAUACGACGUACGCGGGGGGAGGGGACAGGCUGUUCGCAGCGGGCAGCGCUGGAAGUUACCAGUGUCAGGCUAGUCGGCAAAUGAAGUAAAAAUGCCCCGCGGGAGCCGUGGCCGCGCCAGCGAGGCGGGCUCGGCAGCCCCCCGGGGCCACGGACUGUCGGGCGCGGGGCGCCUCUGUCACGAUUCUCUCACGGGGGCGAAGUUUGCGGAUUUCGCGGCUGUCUGUAAGUUGCCGCGCCCGGUGUGUAUGUGCCAGGGGCAGUGCCAGUCCGGCGUGACCCUGUGCGAGGUCCUGCUCGGGGCUGGCUCGUCUUGCUUUUGGGGAAACAAUAAUGCCCCGGUCUGUAAAGCUGAGCAAACCCCUGUGCAGCUUUCUUUGGGUGCUGCCUCGCUGGGAGCCGGGGGAAAGGCUCGUAGAUCUGGCUUUUUUUUACUUAAUGCGCCUUUUAGGAGUUAUUACUGCUGCUGGCGCAUCAUACACACUGGAUCAAUGAAUCUUCAGGUUUCUAGGAAUAUUUGCAAGAGGAGGAAUACUGUGAAGCUGAGGACAUGCGAAAGAUGGUGAUACUUGCAACCUAGGGCUGAACUGGAGGUAAUUUAUGGGUGGAUCAAUAACAUGCGAAGGUUCUUGAAAGAUUAUUAGUAGCAAGCGUGAUUUGCGAUUAAAUAAUUUAAAUUGUGUAUUUAUCUUCCAUUAACUUUAAGUACUGAUUAUACCUCAGAUGAGAAGAUUUGUUCAUCGUUACUUACUGCUGAGAGUCAGGCACAAAAACAAAGCUAAUAUCUGCCCUUGGUCAAACUGACCUCUAUAAAAUACUGUGUUUUCUAUCAGAUUUGAAUAAAUGAUAAAUAAUGAUCGGCCUUUAUGAUCGGUCAUGCAGCUAUGCUUUUCGGAUCGAGUUUGGGCCUUAUAAAAAUUAACACAGUUGUAGACAAUGAAAAUGAAAUUCAGCAGCAAUGGAUGUAAACAAGGAAAAUGAACAUUUCUGAAACACACUGAUUAAUGUUACCCCUCAGAAAGCACAUUUGGAAUUAAAAGGAUAUAAAAAUUAGGGAAAAAGUCAUUUGUAAUCAGAGAACUUGGAGCUUUUAAAAAUGUCGAAUUAAACCAUAUUUCUGUCAAACUGAUACAAGGGGCUUUAGAGGUGGAGUUUUAUAUGUCAGUCUCCAAGGCCCACAAGCCAAGCCUUUGGAAGCCUAGAAUCUUGCCUAGCCCCUGCUGCUGUGUGCUUAAUGUGGUGAGAAGGCUUGUUGUAACCACCCUUUCUUUAGCUUUGUUAUAUGAAUAUCUGUGAGAGAAAAGAAGUUAAUGUCACAUUCUCUGUGAAAAUAUAAUAUAUAAAAAUACUUAAAUGGGCAACUGAGCAUCUAUUCUACUUAUUAUUGGUUAUCUGGGUUUAUCAUGUCCUAAAAGUACUAAAAUUGUAACCUGUAUAUUAUUGUAAAGUAUAAUUAUGAAGUAAGCUAGUAAUUCUUUAUUAUAUAUUUACUUCUCUACAUAUUGAAAUAAAGGUAUUGUAACAGGCCUGAUCAGUUUUUCUGUAACUCCGGUCAUCUGUUUUCUUCCAAAUAACUGUAUCUCCCUUUUACCAUUUUCCUAGGACAGUAACUGGCCUACAUUUUAACCUCUGUCUCUUAAAAAAUGCUUCCAAUAAUUGUCAUGAUGGUGUAAUCAUUUACUAUCAAAUUUUUUUAAUAGUUUUUCUUUUUUAGAAAUGCAAAAUAUAUAUUGUAAUUCUAACUGUAAGUAGUGUUAACAACAAAGGAUUACAUGAGUAAUGUGAUUAACAUUUUCUAAUUAUUACAUGAUGUCUGUAUAUAGUGAAGUUUACCUUGUGUAUGAUAAUUGCUGUACCUAUAUGUCAGGUAUGUUAAUACUUGAAUUCUGAGAGAGUUUUUAUGAUGAUGGAAGGAAAACUAUGUUCCUGUUUUUGACAACUUAUGUAAUAACUUUUCUGAUGCAGUUCAGAGAACCAAAAUUUUCUUAUUGCUAUUAUCAAAAUCCCAAGGAUUCAAUCUGAUAAACACAAGAUCCAUUUGUGCUAUUGCAUUUUAAAAUUCUUAUUGCAGAUGCAGUAAGAUAAACGGGGGGAAAAGAUUAGUUGGGUUGGCUUUAUUUUUUUUAACACAUGUAAAUCACACUUCAUGAGAAGAUCUGGAAUUAUUUCUGUUUGCUGAUGCAUGUUGGAAUGAGUUUUAAGAAAUCCUGCUGUGGUAAUAAACAUUCCAUUAACUUAUUUUCAAGGAUAAUUUUGCAGUGCAUUCUCCUUGAACUCACUGAGAUUUUUUUUUUAUUUUCUAUGCAGGAAAAAAGAUCCCUAUCUCUGAAUUUUCACACUGGCUUACUUGCAAAAUAAAAAGGACUAUUUCAAAAGUUCAAGAAAAGCUAAAAACCAACUGGAUACCCAAGAGGGCCAGUAUUUCCACUCACAGAACACAGGACUAGCUGUUCUGCCUUUAGUGAGAGGAGGAACUUCUUUAUUUUCCACCACUGUCCUACCCCUGUUGACUUUCAAAAAUGGUUUCAUUCUUCAUUCCAAUCCAGAAUCGUUCUAUCUCAAGGUUUCAGCCAGAGGACUUUGACUAACUGUUCCCUGACCUGUUCUGCAGAAGUACAGAAAUCAUGUUAUAAUCUAGGAAGUAGCUAUAUUCAGUUUUUUUCAGAGGUGGAUGAGGUUCUAUAUUGUGAGCCAAUAAGUAUCUCCACACUUUGCCUUCAUAGCAUCCAUCUUGGACUGGUUACUCAAAAACUUUCAGCCUCUCUUUGCCUUCCAUCAGGUGCCUGUCUUCAAUCAUUCCACUGCCUGUCUUCAAUCAUUCCACUGCCACAAUCUUCCUCAGAGGACUUGCGAGUGUAUUCCACUGAUUUGUGAGCUUCAAGGAAGACCAGACUUUCUCCGCACAGCUGCCAAAGACAAUGGUGGCUGUCAGAUUUUCAAAUCUGUGACACUUGAGUGCAAAGUUGAGGAAAACAAGUUUGUCCAUCAUCAAUUUUCACUGUUGUAAAGCAAGGGCAUAAGUCUUCCACCAGUUGUCCCAGUGAUGUAUUGGUCUUGCCAGUCCAGGAGAAAUGUUUGGGAACUGCUGGUGCUGUCAUUAGAAGAGUUGAGCAUCCAGAGUUGCCUUUUGCUCCCACAGGCAAUAAGGGACAGGUGAGAAAUGACAGCACAAAUGAGAUACGAUUAGGAAAACUCAAGGAAGCUAGCUUGCUUUUGCUGCACAAGGGUCCUGCUCUCUCCUAGUUCCCCACAAUGAGUCUCAUUUUGAAGUUAGUUAUCUCCCCCCUUUUCUGUUUCACAAUAUUGUCAGGCCUCUAACGUAGUGAGGAUUUAAGAUAUAAUAAAUUUGAGGUUCUUUUGGCUUUUGAGUCAUUAGGAUUCACAUUUUCAAGCUUUUCUCCAUAAGCACAAGGACUAGGAUUUUUUUCAAAUGAAAGCUGAAAUUCUCAUGUAAUUGCAAGACUACAGGAACCGGGACUUUUAAGAAUACUACCAAAUAUCACUGAAGUUGGCAACAUAGGUUUCAACACAAUGUUUGAAACUGCUGGUUUAUUUUUGAGGAGGGACUAACUUGGUAAAGCAAAAGAUGGAAGAGCAAUGGAAAAAGGAAGGUUGGGGUAAUUAGCCUUGCUGAAAGAAUAAAAAAUCUUGUGUAAUUGCAGAGCCAACAAGACACUUAGAACCAUAGGUGGUCUGGUUCAAAGCUAACGUCUUGGUGUUCACUCACCUCUUCUCCAAAGAGGAUUUCAAUCUGUCACGGAAAUGUUAUAGCUCACUUUGAUCUCUUCAUCAAAAGACAUAUACGUCUACUAGCACUAUCAUCCAUUCGUCUCUCACUGAGACGGCCAUCUUCUUGCUAAACAAUUAGCUUAACUACAUGUGAAGAAUUUUGUGUGCCUGUUUCAUGAAUUUUUUACUUUUGUAUUUAAGGGCAAAACCACUUUAAGGAUAUACUUUAAUUUCUAUUGUACACAUUAUGAACUUCACACUCAGCUUUUAGUACGUUGCACUUACUAGUUUUCUGAAACACCUUUCCCCCGCUCCAAAUGUAUAUCUUUUCACUUGUUACUACUUUAAAAUUAUAUUUAUCCUUUCUAGCCUAAAUUCAGUCAAUAAGAACUUUGUUUUCAUUACUGAAAUCCUGUAUCUAUUGCAAUUAUGGUAUCAACCUGUUGACUUUUAAACUUGGGAAAAAAACAAAUAAAUACAGCAAUACUUGAAA